CUUGGUCAUUUAGAGGAAGUAAAAGUCGUAACAAGGUCUCCGUUGGUGAACCAGCGGAGGGAUCAUUACAGAGUUGCAAAACUCCCAACCAUUGUGAACCUACCUCACCGUUGCUUCGGCGGGUGGCCCUCGCCAGGGCCGCGCCGGCCUCCGUGCCGGCAACCCGUCAGAGGACCGAAACUCUUCGUUAUUCCUGGCCUCUCUGAGUAACUUAUACAAUAAGUCAAAACUUUCAACAACGGAUCUCUUGGUUCUGGCAUCGAUGAAGAACGCAGCGAAAUGCGAUACGUAAUGUGAAUUGCAGAUUUCAGUGGAUCAUCGAAUCUUUGAACGCACAUUGCGCCCGCCAAUAUUCUGGCGGGCAUGCCUGUUCGAGCGUCAUUUCAACCAUCAAGCCUUCGCUUGUGUUGGGGCCCCGCGGCUGCCGCGGUCCCCUAAAUCCAGUGGCGGGCUCGUCGUCGUACCGAGCGCAGUAGACAUCCUCGCUCCGGGAACCCGACGGGUGCCGGCCGUGAAACCCCCCACAUCAAGGUUGACCUCGGAUCAGGUAGGAAUACCCGCUGAACUUAAGCAUAUCAAUAAGCGGAGGA
rnacentral:misc_RNA from 1 species